rnacentral:lncRNA from 1 species
CGAACUCCAAGGGUUAAUUUUUAAAAAAUCUCCACUUAUUCUACCUUAUACACAUUGGCUAAAAGAAAGAACACCGUUUCUCCAAGGCUCAAUCAAGGUUCGACUGAUAAAAAUUUAAAGGUAGGCUUGAAAGGCUCAAACGGUUCAAAGAUGGCCCAAAUCACUUCCCAAAUUGCUCAACGAUUUAAUAUUUCACUUUGUAAAUUCAUAAGAUAAGUUCUAAAACCGAAUAGCAUAUGAUAUAACAUAAAUUAACUCAAAUUUUAAAACACAAAACUUUCAACCAAAGCAACGCAUAAUUCGAGAUUCCUAACAAUGACUCCUUCUUACGACACUUUGAAUCAAAAGCUCACCAAAAUUCGAUCAAAAUCAAGAUAAAACAAGCAAUUUCAUCAUUAAACAUCGACCAUCUUUCAUCAUCAUGAUUCAUCGAAGCAUUUAUCUCAAGCAAUUUUUUUACUUUUUAUUUUUUAUUUAUUAUUUAUUUUUAUUUUUUUUCGAAAGCAAUAACUAAACUAAAAAAAAAAAAUUCUAAGGCAUGCAAACUAAAAAUUAAAGCACAUAAAACAAGUAAUUUUCCACCCCCAAACUUAAAAUUUACAUUGCCCUCAAUGUAAUUAACACGAAGUUUAAGGAUAGAAUACACCUGACUUAGUCGAAGGUCCUUCCAAGGGAUGCACUCUUUGAUGUUCGUUUGCUCGACCUUUAACGUCCGAUCCCUUAGUGUUUGAUUUUCGACCUGAAAAUUAAAACAAGAUUAAAUUAUUAGUUUGCGCAUGCACAAAUACUAAGAAAAAUAAAAACAAAGAAAAAUAACGAAAAUCGAUAAAUGCUCGGGUUGCCUCCCGAGGAGCGCUAAGUUUUAAGUCUUCAGCCAGACUUUCCUUCUUGAAAUUGUUAUGUCCAAUCCAAAGCCUUGUAGAUUGCGCAUCCACCCAUGAGCUCUAUCACUUCAAUUUCCACCAAGGCCUGGAUAGCAUUGCAAUAUGUUACGAUACACCUUAGCUUGUAGUCUUUUUUUGUGGUAAUCAAUCGGUACGAAGCCAAGAUAGGAUGUUCAUCGGCCGCUCCCUCAAAUCGGUAUACAAAAAUCUCCAGUCUACGUAUAACCUCCACCUCGAACACAUUAGCUUUCUCAUCGACCACUAUUGAUGUCUUCAAAUCCACAUUUAGAUCAACGACAUGGUCCACAACUAGAAUAUCUUCAAUCAUUACAUCCAUCUCCUUCUUCUCUUGUUCUGAGGUACCUUCGUGGUUUAGCUCGAUUGCCUUCUCAGAUUCAUCAUGUUCAAGUGUCUUCGUAAUUUCUAUUUCUCGCAUAUCGACACUAUUUUCUGGACAUGGAAAUUGUUUCUCACCGCAGACUUCACCCAAAUUUUCUUUGAUAUAACCAUUGCCGAUUUCGUCUGGAAUAUUUUCAAGCGACUCAGAUUUUAAUUUGAGUGUCAUCUCUUCCAAUUGUAUCUCCAUGUUUCGAAAUGAUGCUUGAGUGGACUUCAUGAAUUCGCCAAUGAUGGAUACCAAAUCAGGUUGGUCAUCAGUGGUCUGCUGCUGCUGCAUUGGAUAAUAAUUUUGAAAAUCAUCAAAUUGUGGCUCUCUAUGUUGAAACUCGUUCAAAUCUUGAUCUUGAAAGCUUUGCUCGUAUAAGUUGUGGGUGUAAGUGUUCCGAUAACCUCCGUUGGUAAUUUCGUCGAAAUUCGUCGCUAUUGGUGAUACCCAACAUUGAUCGGAAUAAUGAUUUCCACCACAAGCUGAACAAAACGGAGGCAUAUCAUAGGUGUUUUGGAGGUAUUCGUCAGAUGUAAGCCAUUCAUAUCCCGUUUGAGGUGCCCGAACAUUGUAACCAGACAUGAAACAAAAACAACAAAAAAUUAAAAUUAAAAAUAAAAAUAAAAAUAAAAAUUAAAUGGCUGAAGUAAGAAAAAUUGCUCAAAUUUGAUAUUAGAAUAAAUAGAUAAUUUAGCCGUAUUCCCCGGCAACGGCGCCAAAAACUUGUUGGGAGCUAAAUACCUAACACGCAAGUGCACGUAUCGCAAACAAGUAGUAAAAGUGGACUCCUGAGAGUCGGAUGUCGAUCCCACAGGGAAUACGUAAAUUAUCUAAUCCUAAGUACCAAAUUCUAACAACUAUGAUUUUUAUCCAGCCUACGCAAGGUUGUCAAUUUAUUCAACUAAAUAAUUAAACUAAUUAUGAAAGCAAAUAAACACGAGAAAAUAUCAAUAUAAAACGGACCUAGGAUUUUAUCUUCCCCCUAUGCAAGAAUUGCUCACCCAAAACCCCUCAAUUAUGAAAUAUAUGAUUCAUGAUUAUUAACCCGAGACACAAAUUUACUCAUAACCCGCUGUCGCGUGUAUUAUGAGUCUAUUAUUCAUAAACGGUUCACUAUAUGUCUAUGCAAACAAAUUAUGAAUAAAGCAUUAACUAACAAGUCUCGUAAAUGGCUACCUAAGGUGAUAUCUGUAUGUCUACGAUACCACAUGCAAUUGACACACUCAUCCGGUGAAAACUACUCGAAGGUUCUUCUACUAACCGUCUAAUUAUCAAAAUAGCUCUGUCGAGUCAAUCCCAAUAAUCACAUAUAAAGCACAUAAAUUGAUCAAGUUCAUGCACUAACAAUCAUAACAAGUAGAAGAAAUAAUCAUAAAAUCAUAAUCUCAUAAUCUCAAGAAAACGGGUUCACCAUCCCCACAUAGGGUUCCAACAAAAUCCUAGAUUAAAAACUUAGCUACUCAUGACGAAAAACAUAAUAAACGUAAUAAAAGUCAUAGAUUAAGAAAAGAUAGGUGAAAGAAGAAUUAUGAUGAAGAUUUGUCAAUUCUCCGUCUUCGAUUCUUCGUUCUCUCGCUCCUCUCGCUCCAAGAUUGUGUCAAAAGUCUCAUGUGAUUCGUGCUUGGUUUGGGCUUAAAUAGUUGUCCCAACUUGGUAGAUGAUUCUAGGUUUCCUUGUGUGUUUAAAAGUCCAAAAUUGCCUCUAACGUGAUUUGGCACGGCCGCGCGAAAAUCAGUGCAAUUCUCGCACGGCCGCGCGAGAAUCGCCGAACCUUCUGCCCAAAUUCAGCAUUUGGCACGGCCGUGCCAAAAAUAGGCUAAUUUUGGCACGGCCGUGCGGGCCUGUUUUCAGCCAAUUUCAGCAUUUUUUGAUUAUUUCACUUUUGGCCCAUAUUUUCUCCAAAAUUGCAGUUUUUACCCCAAACUUUUCCAAUACUUCAAUUUGUACCUAGAAUACAAUAAAUCAACUUUUUAAGCACCAAUUAUCGUAAAUUCACACAAAAAGCUCAAAUAAAAAGAUACGAUAAAGUGUAAAAAUAUACACUUAACACACCCCCAAACUUGAUCUUUUGUUUGUCCUCAAGCAAAAACUAGGAACCUUCAAAUCAACACUUUCAACAAAUGCUUCUCUUCACAUAGAUUAAUGGUCAAUUUCAUGUUUUCAGAACUUGCAAUUAUCAUGACAAUUCUCAAAAAUUUACAAGCUCGUAAUUCAAAGAUACGUAUUCACUCACCAUUGCUAAAAACCACAAACCAUGCUAUCGCUUCAAGUAUCCCAUAUUUGUAAAUUAAAAAUUGAGAAAAUUUAUACUUACAUAUUAAUAUUCAACUCCAAAUACUCACCAAAUUUCUUUACUCGGCUAGUAUCAAAUAAUUGAGCUAUUGGGAUCAUUGGGACUUUUUUGCUUUCAAAUGUUGGGCUUUUUGGUUCAAGGUAGGAGAUAUGGGUAUAGGUGGCUAUGCUUCUUGAAUUGAGAUGAUUACGCCAAAUUUUGAUAGAUAGGCGUUUGAAACAAUGAAUUCACCUCUAAGGACUUUUAAUAAACUCGAUUCUUAAGAGUUCAAAAGUCUCCACUUUUGCUCUUAAGACAAUGGAUCGGGCUUUCAAAACAAUUCAACAACUAGUCCUUACUUCCCCUUCUAGUCUCUUCUUCUUCUUUUUCUUUCUCUUUUUUUAUUAUUAUUUUUUUAUUUUUUAUUUUUUAUUUUUUUCUCUUUUUUUUUUUUUUUUUUUUUUCCGAAGAAGAAGAAGGACCUUAUAAAAAAUUUCGACCGAACUCCAAGGGUUAAUUUUUAAAAAAUCUCCACUUAUUCUACCUUAUACACAUUGGCUAAAAGAAAGAACACCGUUUCUCCAAGGCUCAAUCAAGGUUCGACUGAUAAAAAUUUAAAGGUAGGCUUGAAAGGCUCAAACGGUUCAAAGAUGGCCCAAAUCACUUCCCAAAUUGCUCAACGAUUUAAUAUUUCACUUUGUAAAUUCAUAAGAUAAGUUCUAAAACCGAAUAGCAUAUGAUAUAACAUAAAUUAACUCAAAUUUUAAAACACAAAACUUUCAACCAAAGCAACGCAUAAUUCGAGAUUCCUAACAAUGACUCCUUCUUACGACACUUUGAAUCAAAA